rfam:Rattus norvegicus chromosome 4, whole genome shotgun sequence.
GGGGAUUUAGCUCAGUGGUAGAGCACUUGCCUAGCAAGCACAAGGCCCUGGGUUCGGUCCUCAGCUCCA